GUCUGUGGCCAUACCACCCUGAAUGUGCCUGAUCUUGUCUGAUCUUGGAAGCUAAGCAGGGUUGGUCCUGGUUUAUACUUGGGUGGGAGACUGCCUCGCAAUAACGGGUGCUGUACGCU
rnacentral:rRNA from 1 species